ACAUUGGUGGUUCGGUGGUAGAAUUCUCGCCUUCCAUGGAGGAGACCGGGGAUCAAUUUCCAGCCAAUGUA
rfam:Loxodonta africana unplaced genomic scaffold scaffold_14, whole genome shotgun sequence.